rnacentral:rRNA from 1 species
UACGAAGGGGGCUAGCGUUGCUCGGAAUCAGCUGGGCGUAAAGGGUGCGUAGGCGGGUCUUUAAGUCAGGGGUGAAAUCCUGGAGCUCAACUCCAGAACUGCCUUUGAUACUGAGGAUCUUGAGUUCGGGGAGAGGUGAGUGGAACUGCGAGUGUAGAGGUGAAAUUCGUAGAUAUUCGCAAGAACACCAGUGGCGAAGGCGGCUCACUGGCCCGAUACUGACGCUGAGGCACGAAAGCGUGGGGAGCAAACAGG